rnacentral:tRNA from 1 species
UCCCUGUUGGUCCAGUGGCUAAGACUCUGCCCUCCCAAGGCAGGGGUCGAGGGUUCCAUUCCUAGUCAGGGAA